rnacentral:rRNA from 1 species
GAGUGAACAGGGAUAAGCCUAGCGCUAAGGCUCGACAGGAUGGGUGCCAGCAAUGGUGCUCGUCUCUACCGAUGAGGCUGUCGAGCGGUGCAGCGUUACAAACUACGAUGUUUAGUGGUGCCAUUGGUGGCAUUCGAGCAAUCGAUUGCCACUCCUAGCCUAGCAUGCAAGUUCCAUUGACUUGGACUAAUUGUAAAUGACCAGCAGCUUGGGGCAACUUGAGUUGUUGGUUGAGCCAGAGCGGGUGUAAGCCCCAUACCGUGCAGGCAUUGGCGCCACGAAUUGUAGACGGGGCGCAAGUUCCGAAUUGUUAGAGUCGAGUUGCUUGAGAGUGCAACUUAAAGUGCGAGGUAAACUACUCGUAAGGCUAUGCAUAAUACGGCUACGACACCGAUAGCAAACAAGUACCGUGAGGGAAAGUUGAAAUAGAACUUUGCAGAGAGAGUUAACAGGGCGUGAAACCGUUAAUUGGCAAACGAAUCGGAGCCACGAAGUCGUUUCGCCGUUGAGUCGGAGUCAAGUUCAGCCGGUACUGCAAAGUAUCGGUGUAUUCUUGGCUUGGCCAACUUUGUAAGCGUACAACGCAACUAGUUAGACGAUUGGAUAUGGGCCAAGUUAGCUUGUCGAGCAAUCGACUUGUUGACGCAGCAUUUGUUUGCUCGUGUUAGUAGUAGCGCGUUGCCUCUCGGGGUAUUCGGCGUUGCUUGGCACGUUGCAAGUGAACUAUAACCAAAUACUGACUAGCAACAUGAAAAUCGCCUCCCAUGAGGUGUUACAGAUAAAGCAGUUAGUUGCACUGGUGACUACACGGUCGACUGUUGGUUCUAAGCUUGGCAUUUUUGAAUUCAGACUUGCUCGCUAUCAGUGGGGCAACUCCUGGUGCUUGUACAGCUUCUGUCUAAUCGGGUGUCGACUUGAGCUAGCAUUGUUCGGCAGUGAAACGAUUGGUUGCAAGUGCAAUCUAGCUUGCAAUU